rnacentral:rRNA from 1 species
CCUACGGGUGGCAGCAGUGGGGAAUAUUGCACAAUGGGCGAAAGCCUGAUGCAGCAACGCCGCGUGAGCGAUGAAGGCCUUCGGGUCGUAAAGCUCUGUCCUCAAGGAAGAUAAUGACGGUACCUGAGGAGGAAGCCCCGGCUAACUACGUGCCAGCAGCCGCGGUAAAACGUAGGGGGCUAGCGUUAUCCGGAAUUACUGGGCGUAAAGGGUGUGUAGGGGGUUUCUUAGGUCAGAGGUGAAAGGCUACGGCUAAACCGUAGUAAGCCUUUGAAACUGGGGAACUUGAGUGCAGGAGAGGUGGGUGGAAUUUCUGGUGUAGCGGUGAAAUGCGUAGAUAUUA